rnacentral:rRNA from 1 species
GAUGAACGCUGGCGGCGUGCCUAAUACAUGCAAGUCGAGCGAACGGACGAGAAGCUCGCUUCUCUGAUGUUAGCGGCGGACGGGUGAGUAACACGUGGAUAACCUACCUAUAAGACUGGGAUAACUUCGGGAAACCGGAGCUAAUACCGGAUAAUAUUUUGAACCGCAUGGUUCAAAAGUGAAAGACGGUCUUGCUGUCACUUAUAGAUGGAUCCGCGCUGCAUUAGCUAGUUGGUAAGGUAACGGCUUACCAAGGCAACGAUGCAUAGCCGACCUGAGAGGGUGAUCGGCCACACUGGAACUGAGACACGGUCCAGACUCCUACGGGAGGCAGCAGUAGGGAAUCUUGCGCAAUGGGCGAAAGCCUGACGGAGCAACGCCGCGUGAGUGAUGAAGGUCUUCGGAUCGUAAAACUCUGUUAUUAGGGAAGAACAUAUGUGUAAGUAACUGUGCACAUCUUGACGGUACCUAAUCAGAAAGCCACGGCUAACUACGUG